AGAUUCAUGCUGUCAUGCUGAUGGAUGGAGGUUCCAGAAUGAGUAUUCCAGCUUCAGAUUCAAGAAGGCAGAGCAUUGGGAGGGAUGCUUGUAUACUAUUUCAAGACACAUACAAGGAAGAAGAGAUACACACAUGGGAUUCACUAUGUCAUGCUAAUGGAGGGUCCAGACUGAGGAUUCCAGCUUCAGAUUCAAGGUUCAUCAAGAAAUUGGUUGAAGAGGGUAUUCAAAUUUUACCUAACCAGAAAGUCUCCUAUGUAAGAGCUUUCACAUGAUUUAACAAGUCUACUGAACUGAAAAACUGCAGAACUUUGGAUAUUCAAGCAGAAGGCAGAGCAUUGGGAGGGAUGCUUGUAUACUAUUUCAAGACACAUACAAGGAAGAAGAGAUACACACAUGGGAUUCACCAUGUCAUGCUGAUGGAGGGUCCAGACUGAGGAUUCCAGCUUCAGAUUCGAGGUUCAGCAAAAAAUUGGUUGAAGAGGGUAUUCAAAUUUUACCUAACCAGAAAGUCUCCUAUGUAAGAGCUUUCACAUGAUUUAACAAGAAGUCUACUGAUCUGAAAAACUGCAGAACUUUGGAUAUUCAAGGUUCAUCAAGAAACUGGUUACAGAGGAUAUCCGAAUUUUACUUAAAAUGUCUUCUAUGUAAGAGCUUUCACACGGUAAGC
rnacentral:misc_RNA from 1 species